rnacentral:rRNA from 1 species
AGAGUUGAUCAUGGCUCAGGAUGAACGCUGGCGGCGUGCCUAACACAUGCAAGUUGAACGAAGCAAUCAAGACAGAAUCCUUCGGGAGGAAGAUUUGAUUGACUGAGUGGCGGACGGGUGAGUAACGCGUGGGGAACCUGCCGUAUGCAGGGGGACAACAGUUGGAAACGGCUGCUAAUACCGCAUAAGCGCACGAUAUCGCAUGAUAAAGUGUGAAAAGAUUUAUCGGCAUACGAUGGCCCCGCGUCUGAUUAGCUAGUUGGUGAGGUAACGGCUCACCAAGGCGACGAUCAGUAGCCGACCUGAGAGGGUGACCGGCCACAUUGGGACUGAGACACGGCCCAAACUCC